UAUUUCUGAAAUUGUUUUCAUAUGAAUCAAUGUUUCUGAGAAAAUUAUAUGCAUUCAUCUCCCGCUCUAUACAACCGAAACCAGCUGCAAAUAAGACCAUGAUAAAACCCACUGCAUAAAGAUUUAGAAUCUUACCUAUGAGAGGUAAUGCACAGCAUCCAUAUAUUCAUUCUUACCCUCACUAACAUUUUCAAAUCAGUUAAACACACUCUAAAAUGCACACUGCAUUUUCUCUGAAUUCAAAACUUUUUCACAUCGUUGCAAAAAUGACUUCGGUCAUUCUGGAUUCUAGCUGAAGUUUGAUACAACUGGCCAGAAUGUUUUACAUUCUUAGACCCUGAACUACAAUUGAUGCAUUUUGUGCUUACCACGUGUAUAAAAUAUGUAUUUAGAGGAUUAAAGAAUGGGUGUAAAA